rnacentral:rRNA from 1 species
UACGUAGGGGGCAAGCGUUGUCCGGAUUUACUGGGCGUAAAGCGCGUGUAGGCGGAAGUGCAAGUCCGGUGUGAAAGCCCCCGGCUCAACCGGGGAAGGUCGCUGGAAACUGCGCUUCUUGAGGCCGGCAGAGGGAAGUGGAAUUGCUGGUGUAGCGGUGAAAUGCGUAGAGAUCAGCAGGAACACCCGUGGCGAAGGCGGCUUCCUGGGCCGCGCCUGACGCUGAGACGCGAAAGCGUGGGGAGCGAACGGG